UCUCUCUCUCUCUCUCAAGCUAAUUUUAAUCUGACUCCAUCUUGGGGUGCUACUGUGCGUGCAAUACAUGCUCUGCUUGGUCUUCUUUUCUUAGACAUCCCUCGAUCAGUUAAGUUGGACAAGCAAAAAAUCUUACAUAUCUCAGCUUUGUCAAUUAAGCUCAUUUGAUUGAUGUCUUUAUCUUCACAAGUCUUGCUGAACCUUGAGAUAGGCAAAAACAUUCAGUUCAGAGCCUGAUAGUUUGUUGCUAUAAUAAUAAUAUCUACACUUCUACAUUACCAAUUGCCGUCUGGAGAUUCAAAUUCAGAUAUGAAAACUAUAUAGGAUUUUCAAUUCUUUGGGAAUGUUACUACAUAUUUUUUUACAUGCUUCUCUCUGAGGCUAAUUUUAAUCUCACACCAUCCUGGGUGGUACUAUGUGUGUUGUACAUGCUCUGUUUCAUCUUCUUUUCUCAAACCUCCACGAGUCAAAUUCGACCGGGAAAAAGAAACACCUGCAUACAUAUCAUCGGAUGUUCAAGCUGGAGGAUGUGGCGAUGGAAUAUGGUUCAAUGAGAUGAAGAAAGGUGUUGAUGUCAAGUACGAGAAUGAUGGAAGGAUCUUGUGGUUAUCUAGUUGCCCACCAGCAGGAGACAAUGUAGAUGAUGUGCCUCUAGGGCAAAUUCUAGAAAACAAAGCGACUCAUUUUUGCUCUCAAACAAUGAACAUGUUCUUUCCCUAUUUAAUAAGUUAAAUUAGUUUAUGGGAAAUUUGGAUGUGAAAAUUAAUGAAUGUGUGUUAUUAUUGUAUGGUUUUGGUUUAGUAUUGUUGGACGACAUGCACGUUAUUGUAAUGAUUUGGGUAACUUGAUUGAUAUUCUGUU